UCCAGCGCUGAUCCUAGGCUCACCAACACAUCUGCAUAAGUGUUCUCUGCCCGUGGAACUUGUUGGAUGGUGAAAGUAGGGAAUUCUUCCAAAAGUUCUUGGACUUUGUUGAGGUACUGGACCGACAAGCAAUGCCUCAUAUUCUGCUUCACUGUUGAAGCAGAAAAGCCUAGUGUGGUGACUUGUUCCAACAAAGUUCCGUCUGGGGUGAUUAUCAC
rnacentral:lncRNA from 1 species